GACGAACGCUGGCGGCGUGCUUAACACAUGCAAGUCGAACGGUAAGGCCCUUCGGGGUACACGAGUGGCGAACGGGUGAGUAACACGUGGGUGAUCUGCCCUGCACUUCGGGAUAAGCCUGGGAAACUGGGUCUAAUACCGGAUAGGACUCCUGGCUUCAUGGUUGGGGGUGGAAAGCUCUUGCGGUGUGGGAUGGGCCCGCGGCCUAUCAGCUUGUUGGUGGGGUAAUGGCCUACCAAGGCGACGACGGGUAGCCGGCCUGAGAGGGUGACCGGCCACACUGGGACUGAGAGACGGCCCAGACUCCGACGGGAGGCAGCAGUGGGGAAUAUUGCCCAAUGGGCGCAAGCCUGAUGCAGCGACGCCGCGUGAGGGAUGACGGCCUUCGGGUUGUAAACCUCUUUCAGCACCGACGAAGCGCAAGUGACGGUAGGUGCAGAAGAAGGACCGGCCAACUACGUGCCAGCCGCCGCCGUAA
rnacentral:rRNA from 1 species